CACGUAGGGGGCGAGCUUUGUCCGGAUUUACUGGGCGUAAAGGGCGCGUAGGCGGCGUAACAAGUCACUUGUGAAAUCUCCGGGCUUAACCCGGAGCGGCCAAGUGAUACUGUUGUGCUAGAGUGCGGAAGGGGCUACUGGAAUUCUCGGUGUAGCGGUGAAAUGCGUAGAUAUCGAGAGGAACACCUGCGGCGAAGGCGGGUAGCUGGGCCGACACUGACGCUGAGGCGCGAAAGCCAGGGGAGCGAACGGG
rnacentral:rRNA from 1 species